rnacentral:rRNA from 1 species
AGUGAACGCUGGCGGUAGGCCUAACACAUGCAAGUCGAACGGCAGCACAGUAAGAGCUUGCUCUUACGGGUGGCGAGUGGCGGACGGGUGAGGAAUACAUCGGAAUCUACUUUUUCGUGGGGAUAACGUAGGGAAACUUACGCUAAUACCGCAUACGACCUACGGGUGAAAGCAGGGGAUCUUCGGACCUUGCGCGAUUGAAUGAGCCGAUGUCGGAUUAGCUAGUUGGCGGGGUAAAGGCCCACCAAGGCGACGAUCCGUAGCUGUCUGAGAGGAUGAUCAGCCACACUGGAACUGAGACACGGUCCAGACUCCUACGGGAGGCAGCAGUGGGGAAUAUUGGACAAUGGGCGCAAGCCUGAUCCAGCCAUACCGCGUGGGUGAAGAAGGCCUUCGGGUUGUAAAGCCCUUUUGUUGGGAAAGAAAAGCAGCAGGUUAAUACCCCGCUGUUCUGACGGUACCCAAAGAAUAAGCACCGGCUAACUUCGUG